CGACGGGAGCUUGCUCCCUUAGGUCAGCGGCGGACGGGUGAGUAACACGUGGGUAACCUGCCUGUAAGACUGGGAUAACUCCGGGAAACCGGGGCUAAUACCGGAUGCUUGAUUGAACCGCAUGGUUCAAUCAUAAAAGGUGGCUUUUAGCUACCACUUGCAGAUGGACCCGCGGCGCAUUAGCUAGUUGGUGAGGUAACGGCUCACCAAGGCGACGAUGCGUAGCCGACCUGAGAGGGUGAUCGGCCACACUGGGACUGAGACACGGCCCAGACUCCUACGGGAGGCAGCAGUAGGGAAUCUUCCGCAAUGGACGAAAGUCUGACGGAGCAACGCCGCGUGAGUGAUGAAGGUUUUCGGAUCGUAAAACUCUGUUGUUAGGGAAGAACAAGUACCGUUCGAAUAGGGCGGUACCUUGACGGUACCUAACCAGAAAGCCACGGCUAACUACGUGCCAGCAGCCGCGGUAAUACGUAGGUGGCAAGCGUUGUCCGGAAUUAUUGGGCGUAAAGCGCGCGCAGGCGGUUUCUUAAGUCUGAUGUGAAAGCCCCCGGCUCAACCGGGGAGGGUCAUUGGAAACUGGGGAACUUGAGUGCAGAAGAGGAGAGUGGAAUUCCACGUGUAGCGGUGAAAUGCGUAGAGAUGUGGAGGAACACCAGUGGCGAAGGCGACU
rnacentral:rRNA from 1 species